AUGAGGCCCGACGCCGGCGUCGCGGGGAGCAUGGCGUCCAUGGAGUGGGAGCCCAAGGCGCUGUCCCUCCACGAGCUCAAGUACGCGAGGGAGGCGGCGCUGUACGUCCUGAGAACGCACUCCUCGGAGGACGCCGUCCGAAUCUUCACCGAGGGCCUCAAGCCGGUGCUGGGCGUCAGGAGGGACUCCAUGGCCGACUCCGACGAGGAGGACGACCAGGGUGACGAGGACUACGACAUGUUCAGUCCCUACGCGUUUCUUGACGAUGACGGUGUCUACUGCCACCAGUAUGGGCGCACCGCCGCCGAGGAACGAGAUGUUGCUACCGCACCCUUCUAA
rnacentral:rRNA from 1 species